UUUCAUUCUCAUUCUUAGAUGUAUAGCUCAUUUGUAAAUAUUAGCUCUCGUUUCAUUCUCAUUCUUAUAAGAAUGAGAAAUAAAAAUAUAGUCACUAAGGGAUCCACAUAAGAGAGGGGAAGUCAAAUAUGGUAGCUUGAUGUGACAGAUAAUGAUUAUAUUUUUCAUUUUUUUGGCCAAAGAAUGGGAAAGAAAUGGGGCCUAAGAGAGUGGAGUGAGUUAAAUUUUUAGAGAUUGUAAAACAGUUUUCCUUUCAUUAGUGUAAGGAGAUUCUUUUGAACUUAUAUGCUUGUUUCUUCCAAUUUAAUUUCCUAUUUUAUAUCCUUUACUCAAAGUUGCCAUAAUUAUAAUUAUUUUAUGUCAGAAAUAUAAAGUUAUAAUUUUGCCAUUCUUUUAAUUGGUCAAAAUGUGUCAUUCGUUUUAUUCUUUUGGUCAAUUAAUAGAGGAGUGGAUGAAAUUAGUUCAUUUUUCCUCUAGCUGCAAUUAAAUGAAGAGUUUGAGAUUGUGGGUGCAACAAAUGAAAAUUUUGGAUACAAUCUAGAACUAAGUGAACAGUUUGGGACUUCAACUACAAUUUUUUCUUUAUUUCAGUAUAUAUAUUUCCCCGAGGGUGGGUUGGGGGGGCGGGGGGCGGGGAUGACCCCACAGAAUAUUUGGAAUUUCUGAUUUUAUUUUAAUUUUUGUCUUUUUCCCCCCUUCGAAUGAAAAAAACAUAUUCAUCCUCCCUUUUUUGAGGGUUGCGCACCAAUCUUCUAUUAUUAUGAUAAAAGUCAACAAUUAAUUUGCCAUUCAUCCCAAUGUUCAAGGUUUAUUCAUCCCAUCAAAAUAUUGUUGAAUAUUUAUGAAAUUUAAACUACAUAAACUUUACAAAAUUG
rnacentral:lncRNA from 1 species